CGCCAACUGCCAAGAUGUUCACUCCUCUUCCCUCUUGCUCUCCCUUCCGUCUGGAGAGCCUUACAUGUUCAUUUACAUAGUGCUAACCCCUGAUCAGCAAUUCAGAAGAAAACAAGACCAAAAAUGCCCAGGCACCAACGUGAAGACCUUGGGAUUGGUGGACCAUCAUUGGUGUCGAUUACAAUUGAAGAAUGGUCACUGGUAGGCCAGUCAUCACUUGUUCUCCAACUAAAAUCAACACUGCAGUUGGGAGCUACAAUUUAAAAGGUUGAUGCAGGAGACGAUGCCUGUCUGAAUGUGAUAAUGGAUUCCGACUGCCCUGAAUUCCGUGCACCUGCCUCCUUGCCAGCGCCCACUUACCAUAGAAGAUAUUAUCAUCAAUAAUCGGCAACCAGCCUUGCAUAGAUUGUAAAUUCGGCCAUCUCUCAUGUUAUUGUGAAUAAUAGAAUGAUUUAACACAGUAUUCUGUGCCCUCUCCAUGGAGCUUAUCUGCCGUUCAGUUUGUCUUAAGGCUGUUCAAUUCUGUGUAAAUAAACUUAAUUUUCAAAAUGGCUGGUUUUCUGGCAACCUUAACAAAUCAGUAAACCGUUUUCUAAAGCAAGGUAAGUCAAAAGUGCUUCAUUCCUACUCCAUAACCUUACAUGUGUAAGUCGUGGCGGACAUUUACAGCAAAUCAUAUGAUUUUAUUAAUAUUCCCUAAUCCAAAACGACCCCCACACAUUCUUAUUAUUAUAAUUAUUAUAAAGUUAGGAUUUACCAGCCCAAUGGGUCUAACUAGACUCUUACAGUGCUGGCCCGAAAACAUUCAUGAGGAAAUUAUUAAAAAAUACACACAUAAAAUGCGUGUCUACAAAGUGGAAUGGGAUGGAAUGGUAGUUAAUGAAUUAUAAUAAAUUAAUGAUAAAUGAGGAUGAUUGUUAAGUGAUAUAUGAGGUUGGAAUUAAAAAUAUGAAUUGAGCUUAUAAAAGACUGAAAUAGAUGAAAAUGACAAAAGUCAUCUAUUUUAGUAGGGUAUAAAUAUGUUAUAUCUUAUUAAUCAAAUAAGUGUUUUUUAAAAAUAUUAAUACGUACUCUAAAUAAAGAAAAAUGAUCUGACUGAUAGUAUUUCUGAUAAUGAUUUACUGCCUAAAUGUUUUUCUCUAUUAAAAAUUAGGCCUUCAAUAAAAUAUGCUUGACUUUCAAAAUUGUAUUGCAGACAUUGCAAUGAGGGAUGUUCCCCUGUGGAGUUAUCAUUAAAUACUCGUGAGUUAGUCUUGUGUGGCCUAUUCGUAAUCUUGUUAAUAUUACUUCAGCUCAUUUUUCAUUUUGUACUGAUGUAUUCCACAAGUCUACAUUCUGCUUGAUGCACUUUAAUUCAUUGGUGUCUGCUUCACUAUGCCACAGGUUUUGCCAUUUUGUUUUUAAGCACUGCUUCACUGAGUUUAUAUAAUCUGUAGCAGGCAAUUUAUUAUCAAAAAUUGGUGAAUUUAUCCCAGACUAUAAGGCUAAGGCUAAGGCCCCACCGAAUCCGUCGCGGCGCGUCGCGUGCGUCCAACACGGCUAUCCGUCU